UGGUUCAAAUUCAAGAAUCCAACUUACAUGCAUAAGACUACAAACUGAAGCCAAAUUCCUGGAAACAUGUCUCCAGAGUCCAGACCAAAGGGACAAACUAUGCCAGUUCAAAUUUGGCAGACCGAAGUUAAAUCUUGUAUCUACAAACAUGGACAAUAAACAAUAGAGGCCAAAAGUGUAUGCUCUCCAAAGAGACAAAGUCACACUAAAAGUUCCUACAGGGAACUGCCGCCAUACGUAGUUUCCUACAGGGAACUACUGCCAUACGAGCUGUAUAUUACGCAAACAGGUCACACUGGUUGGUUGGUCAUGUUCCUAGCUAAACCAAGCCAGUCAUAUGUCCAUGUCAAUCAACGCAUCUUCCUCCUCACCAUCCGAGAGUGCACCAGCAAGGAAGUAAUCUCCUGAAAAUUUGCUGUGGUGGUACAACAACUGAUAAGUAACUGAUGUAGUUUCAGAACUCCUCAUACAGUGUUCUUCCUAAGAAAAAGACGUGUGCAUACCUAGUACAGCAAUAGCGAAAGCUCACUACUCGCUUUAGCUUUCAGUUGUAGAAGAAAAAGUUGACCGACCAUCUGUUGUUGCUGCUCGCUCUCACGCUAGACUGGAGGUAGACGCAUCACUUUUUUCCGGCGACCAACGCCCCGGCGACGAACGCCCCGGCGCCCAAACGCCUCCUUUAUAUUCAGCACAAAGGCUACAUCACGACUCAGCAACAGACCAGCGCACUACAUCAACAACAAGGGGGAGGGGGGGGUUUAUACCCAGGUGCACACACUCACACGGCCACCACAUCGGCCACUAACCCACGCACUAAUCUAGCUAACUACCCGCAUGCACCCAUGCACCUUGUACUUGGCCGGCACACACGCUAACUUAUCCAUCUAAUGCAUGCAUGCACUCAACUGCCCGCGACCUUGGCAGCGCACACCGCGCACCACCGCUGCCUAACUGCUCGGCCGAAGCUGCUGCUCGUUGCCAGCUUCGCGCGGACGACUCAGCUAUCACCAAGCCGUUGCGUGGCUUACUCCUAACAUUCUCCCCCUAAGCCACGAUCUCAUCGUGGCCGGAGUAGCUCAUGUCGAUGUCAUCGCCACGAACGUGACCCAGUCCGUGGACCCGACCCGGUGCACCGACGCCGGUCGCACCGCCACGGAUCCGACAUGGCGCACUGACGUCGGUCGCACCAUGCUCUGUCACCACCCCGGCGACAUACGCCGAGCUCCAUCUCCGCCGGCGACACACGCCUGGCGUCCCUCCGCGCCCUGCACGUCCCGCGCGCGCCCGACGAGCCCGACCGUACCAGUGCGUCCCGCACGUCCCGCGCGCAUCCGACGCGCCCGACGAGCCCGACAGCACCAGACGCUCACCGUGUGCCGCCUCCGCGUCCUCCAUGGCAGCCGCCACCACGCAGGUCCGCCAGGGCCGCCGCGGCUCCGUGCCACGCGCCUCCACGGUUGUCGCGCCGAGCCGCCGCGACCUCUGCGCCACCACGCAGGUCGUCCGCGACCUCCUCGUCUCCGCGACCACCGUGCUUUUCGCGCGCACUCCCCACGUCCCCGCGCUCCCGGCCCGCGCUCCCACCGCGCACGUACGCGAUCUGCGCAACCAGGUCCAGCGCCUCGACGCGGUCCACUCCCGCGGUCCCGACGCGCCCGACACGUCCAGUGCGCACCCAUAACACGCACCGGUCGCGCCCGGCUCGCCGCCGCGUCUUAUUGCCCUGCACCGCCGCGGCCUCCAUGCCGCCAUGCAGUGCCUCCACGCCGCCACACCGUGUUGCGCCGCCGCGCCACGACGCAGCGCCUCGGCGGCCUCCGUGGUCGCCGCACGUACGACGUCACCCCCUCCGCCUCCGCCACGCGCCACGGCCGCCCCUCGAACCUUGUAGCUCUGAAUACCAAUUGUUGUUGCUGCUCGCUCUCACGCUAGACUGGAGGUAGACGCAUCACUUUUUUCCGGCGACCAACGCCCCGGCGACGAACGCCCCGGCGCCCAAACGCCUCCUUUAUAUUCAGCACAAAGGCUACAUCACGGCUCAGCAACAGACCAGCGCACUACAUCAACAACAAGGGGGAGGGGGGGGUUUAUACCCAGGUGCACACACUCACACGGCCACCACAUCGGCCACUAACCCACGCACUAAUCUAGCUAACUACCCGCAUGCACCCAUGCACCUUGUACUUGGCCGGCACACACGCUAACUUAUCCAUCUAAUGCAUGCAUGCACUCAACUGCCCGCGACCUUGGCAGCGCACACCGCGCACCACCGCUGCCUAACUGCUCGGCCGAAGCUGCUGCUCGUUGCCAGCUUCGCGCGGACGACUCAGCUAUCACCAAGCCGUUGCGUGGCUUACUCCUAACACCAUCUGCAAGCAAAAUAGAAUGUCAUUUACAUAGUAGAGCAUCCUUCUAAAUGCUUUUAAGUUCAAUUCAAGCAUGAUUUCCAUUGAUAAGAUCGUCGUACAUGGCCCCUUUAUCUAGAAAUGGAUCUCUGUUAGAGUCUGGAUUGUAGUUGUAGAUGUUACACUCCCAAAUAUUGAUAACCAGUUACAAAAUAAUGUGUAAAUGUAUAAUAUUGGAGUGCUUAAGCAUUUACUGAAUCCAUGCAUCAUCCAUAGCUUUAGUCAUAUUGUCCAAAAGGGAACUACCUUCAUUUCCUGCUGCCUAGGGCUUAACAAUAGUCCCAUUCAGGUUAUGCAUAUAAAAGUGAUGGCAGGAAAACAGACUCGGUAUCAUUUGUAAGUUCAGAACUUGUAUGAAAAUGUGGUUGCAACUAUAUAACUUUCACUUUAACAUUCCAUUUCUUUUUGAGAAAAAUUCAUGGAACUCAUGAAAGCAUUACCCUAGAAGCCUCCAAUAAGUAGUUGUCUAGCAUAUGCUUGAAACUUUCCAUGUCUUCUUCUUUGAAAAAAUAGGUGUGCCUGAACAACGCUACUAAGUGAAAUAGAUGUUGACAAAGAGGAUGUCAAAUUUAAUCUGAAGCUCAUCCCAUCAUGCAAGUAUCGCAUAACAGUAAGGAGACCUUAAGAAAGGUACGACUCUUCCUAAUACCAACAUGUUCCAGGGAAAUGGAGAGAAUUGAACUCUCAUCUCAAAAGAGCAACAAUCUAUUUUUCAUGACAUUUGACAACACUCCCUUAGGCUGGUUGGCAAGGACAAAAGCAGGUUGUUUGGUAAGGACCAGUGUCGUUUUAAUCAAUUUUUUGUACUUAUCAUCCAUUUCGAAAAGUCACAACCUUUUCCAUGAUUCCACAUUGCUAAAAUUGUAAUAAAAAUCUCGAGAAAAUGCACGAAAAACCUAAGAAGUAAGAUGAGGGUAGAGAAUUACCACACAUUUGUAGAAAUCCUUCAUAUAGUUGGCAUUGGUCAUUGAGGUGUACACUCUCACCACCCUAAACUGCCAAGACAUGCAAUUCACUAAUGACAUGUGCGGUGCCUUCCUAUGGCUUCGCACUUCACCUUGUUGUUUGGCCAUGACGUCGUCCUUAGGUUGAGUGAGUGGAAUAGGGGAUAGGUGAGAGAGGAGUGACGUGAGUACCAUCGCCACAAAAUUUGGGGACGAGAGGAGUGACAAUUAGGAGGAUUUGGAGACAAGAGGAAUGGUGAUUGAGGUAGGGAUUUGACACUCAAUUUGGGAAUUGAGGGGAAGUGCCUAUUUUGAAGAUUAAAUGAUCAACAAGGACCAAACUGAUAAGUUGCAACUUCAAGUUUUCAGAAAACACUUCAAUAAUUAGAGGCGAAUCGGUACAGAGCACACAUUGCAUGCCAUGUCGGCCUCAUACAACUGUUUUUUCCACCUAUGCAACAUCAUAUACCCCACUAUAAAAUUUGUACUUGAUGUAUGAAAGUGAACUUCCUCGACAACUUCCACAAAAAGAAGAUAUGUGAUGCGUCGCAACAAGAACCGACAAGUAACCAACUUUAGUGGCCCUGGCCCAUGGCAUUUUUUUCUCAGCAACAGGACAUGAAUAUGCUCCUCAAGAAGUAUGAUUAUUACAAUUGGCAUGUACAUACAUGUGUAAGUUGAUGAACUUAUGAGCUUGAUACUAUAUAAACCAGAAAAAAAUGUAUACAACAUAUACCAGAAAUCAUUGACAUUAUUACUAGGGGAGGAGUAAACAUUAGUGACUUAAUUUAGUAGAGGUAGGGUGGAGUACAAUAAGUGAAUCAGCGCCCUUACAGGAGUCAUCACCGACCAUGGCUAGGCAGAGGCUACACACUAAUCUCUUAUAAUAGAAGUUCAUUAAAAAGACCACCAAUACCAAUUUCUCACUUGCUUAGUUUUUCCUAAAGAAUAAAUAAUCUCCGUAAAAAAAGAUGUGUGCAACACCGUGAUUAACAUUCCAGACAAGUAACUGACUUUGGUGGCCCUAACCCAUGGCAUUUUCUCCCCACACUAGGACAUAAUUAUGCUCCUCAAGAUUUGGUUAUCUCGGAUCUUACAGACUUCCUCAUGCCUCUUAGUCCUAUGAAAAUGAUAAUUUGGCAUUUUGUUGUGCUUCUUGGAACAAAUUUGUACUGACUUAUCCAGCAGGGAGAUCAAAACAACCAAUCUACAUUUUGAACUCCAAGUACCAUACGAUGGCUUUGAGAGAUAUGUUGGAUAGUGGUGGUGGGUUGGUGUUAGGGGGAAAGUGGCAGUGUGGUUGAGAGGUAGGAGGGAGCAUGCUCCUUUUAAAGGUGUGGUUCAUCCAUGCUCUUCACACGGAUCUUAACUGCUAGUCAUGUGAUCAAAAUCCUAAUGGGCUACUAUAAUACUAAUGUACACAACUUGCUUCUUGAAGAACCAACCUAACUGAGUCAUGGCUCAUUUGUUCCAUACAUGCGUAUGGUAAUUCGUGGUUUGACAAACUCGAUAUUGCAUAGAAAAAACAUAUUUAUAUUAUUUCUAUGGAUAAGUUGAGAAAGUAGCAAUGUUGAGCUUUCUAGUGUUGGACACAAGUAUAGUUGGUACACUGCACCUCUAAAAGACACAUUGAGCCCAAACCUGUUCAUGGUGUGUGGGAGAGGGCAAUAGGAAUGAAUGUAUGUGGUGUUGGAAUUAUUGGGCUAGAUCCAUUAACAAUCACAAUAAUUCAUGAAUAAUACCCUGAAGGUCCAAUCAUGCAUUUCAAAUUGUGGAACCAAAUUUAGUCCCAAAUUGCAAGUGGAUAAGGAUUAGACCAAAAUAUAUGGUUAUUUUUCUACCAUCUAGUAUGAGAUUCAGAAAAGGACGGGUACACGUGUGCUCCUCCUCCUCCUCCUCCGCUCACCCCGCCUAGCUUGGCAGGGUGCAACACAGUGGGAACGAAAUGAGGGUGAAUGGUCCGAAGCCACAUGCUCAUGAAUGGUAUGGCAAAAUAAGUUUGAAUUGAGGGUCUCGUCGUUGUCACGUUUUGCUCCUUUUUUGAUAUGCGCGAUAACAUUUGAAAGGCUUGCUUACUAUGGAAUAUAAGGAUUUGGGUAGUCGUUCAGUGUAAUUUUUCUAGCAAUAGUUGCACCUUCUAUCGUGUCUCUACUACAUAUUUUAUCAUGGUUUAGUAAUGGUUUAUAAGUGGUUGGUCCUCCCAUAUAUUAAUGGGGAACAAAUGCACAAAAACUCUAAGGCUUGUGUCACAUCUAGGUCUUCUCCACCUCUUCCUUGCAUCCACCGUGUGAAUUGAGAUAGCAAGCCCCUAGAAUCACAUUUCUUACGAUCAUGUAUGGAAAUAGGUGUAAGUGCAUCUAGGCCUCCAUAGUGGGUAUUGAGAUUGAUGACGACAAGAUUAAAUGGACUAAGUAUUGCUCUAUGUAUUGAUCAACUAAUGACCCAAUAAGUCUGGAAAACUAUUCUUGACCUCUCAAAUCUAAGGAUCAAGGUUCAACAAUUUAAGGACACUUUCCUAGAUCUUUAGUGAUCCAACGAUCAUUUUGAGUACGUUGGUAUGCCAAUACUUUUUUUAGUUGGUAUGUAGAUACUAUUAAAUGUGGGGUCUCCCCUAGAAAAAGAGAUAUUGGAAGCAAUUUGGGCGCUAUAGGAGCUUGACAGAUGGGAGGGAAAACAAUCUCUCACAGUGCCUGAGUCCAACUUCCGUCGUAUAAUUAAGGCUUAUAUGUAUUGGGAAAAAGAGAUAAUACUAGAUGGAUCAAAUUCGGGGGAGAAGACACCGUCUUGGUUCUAAGUCUGACAGUAGUAGGGGGUACUAAGGGAGAGGCAAGAUCCUAGCAAUGGAGUAGUUGUACACGCAAGAGUUUUACGAGUUCGGGCCCUUCUCGGAGGAAGUAACAGCCCUACGUCUCGGUGCCCAGAGGCGGUCGACUGGAUUAUAUGCGUGUGAGUUACAGGGGUGCAAACCCUUUACACUGAGGAGGGGGUGGCUUAUAUAGAGUUUGCCAGACCCCUCCGGCCCUCAGUUGCAGGGUUUAAAGUACAUUAAGUCAGGGGGUUACUGGUAACGCCCACAUAAAGUGCUAUGAAGACCAUAAAGGCUACUUAAUGACAGACCGUUAUGUGUAGAGUGACUUUAGAUCUCCCGGCCGUCGAGUGGUUAGCUUCAUGGUCGAGUGGUUAUCUUCAUGGUCGAGUGUCUUCGAGUUUGUCGAGUGGAUCACCACUAAGUCGACUGACGGGUAGUUUCUUCUAGAUAUGUCCUUGGGUAGGGUAGCUUAGACAGGUCCAUGACCCUACCCUAGGUACAUAGCUUCAUCAUUAGCCCCCGAAUGGAUCGAGGUUUGAGUGGGGAAGGAGUUGAGAAUUCUUCCGACCCAUUUUUUGUGCUAUGAGUAUGUCUUGUCUUGGAUCAAUGAAUUUUUAGGUGACGGCAUCAACUUCUUUUUCAAUCGCCUUGAUCCAUUCUUUAUAUCUGUCGAGUGAAGUUUUCACCUGGAGAGCUCCGAGUGACGGAGUGGAGGGGAUCUUCUGCCUGAUGAGCUGUUCUGCAAGCCGCGGAUUUUGUGGGAUUCGAAUUUUGGGAAGCGCGCGGGAUGGGGCGUAGCCGCAGCAAUCAGACGGGAUAAGGCAGGGACGCCUCGAUCCCCGCGCCACCUUUUUUGCCACGUAUCUCGCGCAUGACUGUUGCGGGAUUUGACAGGAUUGUCCGGGCCUACAUGUCAGCCACUCGGAAGCAGCCUUAUAUAAAGCGCCGGACGGGGGUUUUUCAACAGUGCGCCCUCAUUCCUCCCUCUUCUCCAGAUUUCUCCGCUACGUUCGCUUCUGCCUCAGUGCCCCUGCUCCGUGCGUGCUUUGUCGGCGAUGAUGGUGAAGGAGAAGACGGCGGCCCUGGAGCAGGCGAAGAAGGCGACAGCGAAGGCGAAGGGGAGGGGAACCCGUCGGAGUGGCUCUUCAUCGAGGACCGGCCUACCGCCGGGCUGGAUCCAGGGCGACUGGAUCCACUCGACAAUUAAUCAGGCGGAUCUCGACGACCUGGCUGACGGAGGGCUGAUCCCCCAUGGAUCGGCGCGGCUCCCGGGGAGGGAGUCAGAGCCGCAGCCUCGGGAGGGUGAGUGCAUUCUUUUGGCCACCCACGUCGACCGUGGGUUUUCUUUGCCGCCCCACCCUUUCUUCCGGGGGUUUUUGAAUUUCUUUGGGGCACAACUCCACCACUUCACGCCCAACACCAUAGUGUACCCCGCUGCCUAUGUGUCUUUGUGUGAGUGCUUCUUGGGUUGCCGGCCUCACUGGGGUCUCUUUAAGCACAUCUUCACCUGUCGCUCCCAGACGGUGAAGAAGGCAAAUCCGAGUGACGAGAGGACACAUGUGAUUCAGAUGUGUGGGGGCCUUGGGAUCCAGUUGAGAGGGAAAAGUUCUUUUUUGACCAUGGUUUUGCCCGAUUCCGUCCGUGGGUGGCAGUCGACUUGGUUUUACUGCAAGAACCAGCUGAUGCCAGGGCAGUCGACCGGGCUCCCUCCCUUUUCCAUGGAACGAGUGAGGAAGCCCUCCUCUUUGAAGGUGGUCCCGGAGGAGAAGGCGCAGGUGAAGGUGCUGGCCGAGCGUGUCGUGCAGCUCAUCCGUGACGGGGUGACUGGUAUGGACCUCCUGGAGGUCUUCCUCCGGCGGCGCAUCCAGCCACUCCAAUUUCGAGACCAUCCUAUGUGGAUGUAUUCUGGAACUGAGGACACCACUCGGAUCCACCCGGAGGAGAUCGAUGGUGCCACGCUGGAGCGGUGGAUGGGAAGCAUUGCGGGGAACAAGGACAACCCCCGAGGAGCCAGGAGGGUCGUUUCACUCGACCAAUCAUAUGAAGUUGACAAGGUCCAACUCUGCAUUUCCGACUGCGAUUCUGUUUUUUCCAUUCUAUCUGUUUGAAAUCAACCGACUGACUUUUGUCUUGUUUGUUGUCUUCUAGGUCACGACUGAAAUGUACUCGAUGCCCAAUGGGACACAGGAACAAGCCGAGGAGGGAGAGGCGAGUGGAGGCGAAAGUGAGGAGGAGGAGUGGAAAUCUGACGACGAGGGGGAAGAGGAUGAAGACGGUUCUAGCUAGGAGGAGGAGGAAAUGGAAGUCGAUCCCCCUCGCACGGAAAGGCGAUCCAAGCUUGCCCACGACCCCGCGAGGGAGCGUGGCAAAGCGGUUGCUCCCGUUGCACCGUCGACAAAGCGCCCUCGGACGGCCUCUCCGGAGCCGACUGGAAAAGCACCGAAGCAUCCGCGGGCGGAGCCAUCAAAGCCGCUGAAGGCCUUGUCUAAGAUGAAAAUGGCCAUUCCCAUCAUCUCCGAGUAACAGCAGGAUUCGUGUUUCCUUGUUCGGCUCGGGCGAACUUCCGGUCGACUCAUCGACUAACCGACUGGUUUAUGAAAUCUGUAGUGCCGCUACCUCCGAGACCUCCACCAAGGACGGCGACCAAGAAAUGGAAGACACUGUCACCUCCAACCCUGGUACGUUCUCUUGUAGUUUUCGCUUUUGGUCGAUUGGAUCUUCGUUCCCAACUCUGGAUUUAUCUUGCAGCUCCUCAUCACAUCAUUGAUCUUCCUGAUGACGAUGACGAGGUGCCCCUGAGGGCGAGGAAGAAUAGACAGGCCGUAGCUGGCAAGGCCACUCGGACUGCGUCAGCACCCGAGGUACUGGUUCAAGAAGGUGGCGACAUCGCUCGGCAUUCCGUGACUUUCGCUGUGCCGCUGACGAGUGCCCAGCCUUCGUCGUCGACUGCUGAACCACCCUCCCUUUUCGCCACACACCACGUCCCAGAGGACCAGGCGGGCGCAGCUAAGGAGGCUAUACGCCAGGCGGGGAUUAUGAUGGAGCAGGUGAAGGCAAUUCGGGAAGCUAGCCAAGCGGCUUAUGAUGCAAGCUCAGCCCUUCAGAGCAAUGUCCAGGUUAGUUGGCAACCGCCUGUUCUGUUAGGAUAUGUUAUUUGAAGAUUUUCUUUCCAAAAACCUUUGUGUCUGUACACCUAGUGGGUGUGUCGAUUGGGUUUGUAGACUGGUGGGGGCACGCUGAGUGCACCCACUGGGUGUAGUCCCCGAGACUAUGGUGGACUGCUGGCAGUCGACUGUAGUCUUUAUAGUUGAAAUUUCUUCACUCGGUCUGAUUGGACCAUGUCGAGUGGAACAUUAGGACCUGUGGGGGCACGCUGAGUGCACCCACUGGGUGUAGUCCCCGAGACUAUGGUGGACUGCUGGCAGUCGACUGUAGUCUGAAGAACUCUCUCUUUCCUCUAUUUUUUUGUAGACUAUGAUGAGACCAUAAUCUCUUUGUUCCUUUUGGUCGACUGAUCGGAUCGAGUCGGUAGAACUAGUGGGGGCACGCUGAGUGCACCCAUAGGGUGUAGUCCCCGAGACUACUAUUGAAUAUUUUGAUUCGACUGUAGUCUUAGAAAUGUUACUGUUUUUCUCUUAGUCACUCGGAAGUAACCUCUCUUUAAUGUCUGUCCACUGACUCUUUGCAGAAAUCUUGCGAGCUUGUGGCCCGUAAUACUGAGUUGGAGAAGAAACAUAUCCAGCUCGACCUUGACUUAAAACUUGUCCAGGAGAACUUUCAGAAGGCGAAGGACGAGGCAACAGGUAUGAUUAGUGAGAACUUGACGAUUGUUUUUAUCUUUCUGCCCAUUAUUGAUUCUGACCUCCUUGCCAUUUUGCAGAGAAAACGAAGGCGGCUCUGAUCAAGAAGGACCAGGAACUUGCUGAGGCGCAGAAGGCUGCAUUGGAUAAAAUGAAGCUUGCAGAAGAAAAGCUGGCUUCAGUCGGCAAACUCGAAGAGGAGAAUGUCAACCUGAAAGCUGAUCUUGACGCGGCCAACAAGGAAGUCAGCCGUCUGAAGAAUGACAAGAUUGCUCUGAGUGACAAGGCAAGUGAACUGGUGGGGAAGAAGAAUGAUCUGGAAGCUUAUCUGGGAGGGCUCGCCAAGAAGUUGUUCCUCAUUGUCGGUGUCAAAACUGGCGGAUCUCGGGUAGGGGGUCCCGAACUGUGCGUCUAGGCGGAUGGUAACAGGAGACGAGGGACACGAUGUUUUUACCCAGGUUCGGGCCCUCUUGAUGGAGGUAAAACCCUAUGUCCUGCUUGAUUAAUAUUGAUGAUGUGGGUUACAAGAGUAUAUCUACCACGAGAUCAAGGAGGCUAAACCCUAGAAGCUAGCCUAUGGUAUGAUUGUUCUUCGUCCUAUGGACUAAGGCCAUCCGGUUUAUAUAGACACCGGAGAGGGCUAGGGUUACACAGAGUCGGUUACAAAGGUAGGAGAUCUACAUAUCCGUAUCGCCAAGCUUGCCUUCCACGCCAAGGAAAGUCCCAUCCGGACACGGGAUGAAGUCUUCAAUCUUGUAUCUUCAUAGUCUUGGAGUCCGGCAGAUGAUGGUAGUUCGGCUAUCCGGACACCCCUAGUCCGGGACUCCCUCAGUAGCCCCUGAACCAGGCUUCAAUGACGACAAGUCCGGCGCGCAUAUUGUCUUCGGCAUUGCAAGACGGGUUCCUCCUCCGAAUAAUUUAUAGAAGAUUGUGAACACCAGGAUAGUGUCCGGCUCUGCAAAAAUAAAUUCCACAUACCACCGUAGAGAGAAUAAUAUUACACAAGAUCAAUCUGCUGACGUAUUUUGUGGCGUAACGUCACACCACUUCCAAGCCUUUACUCGAAUUGUUUCUAUUGUUCCACCUCAGCGCGUUUAGCGAGGCGGUUUCCUUGGCAUGCCUAUCGAAGAAGAGAUCGUGUUCCCCUUAUUCCGGGAUUCCCAUCAAUACGGACGUGGGUAACCCAACCGCGCCAUUGAUUGUGAUGCUUGGGAGAUAAGCGAGUUUUACCAGGCCAGUGGGGACACGUGUUUCUGUCCGCCCAUAUAAGGGGAUAAAGAUCCAACCUCUUUACCUGCGCCUUCUUCCUCCUUGGCUUAUCCAUCUCUGCAAACUCGAGCUCUAGCGCCCAAGCCUGCACAUCUCACCUCAACCUUCUCCAAAUAUGUCCGGAGCGGGAGGCAAGUGGAUGACCUCCUCCGUCACGGAGGGGCAUAUCCAGAAGCCGCACAGCGCUGGAUACUUGUCCAGCGACAUCGCGCAUCGGCUCCCCGACGAGGGAGAGCUCAUCCCCACCCCCAGGCCCCAUGAGAGGGUAGUAUUCCUUCCCCAUUUCCUCCGCGGAUUGGGCUUCCCACUUCAUCCCUUCGUCCGGGGGCUCAUGUUCUACUACGGCCUAGAUUUCCAUGAUCUGGCCCCGAAUUUUAUUCUCAACAUCUCGGCGUUUAUCGUCGUGUACGAGGCCUUCCUCUGCAUAUAGCCCCACUUCGGCUUGUGGCUCAAGACCUUCAGUGUCAAGCCGAAGGUUGUGAAGGGCACCCAAGCGGAGUGCGGAGGCGCCAUGGUGGGCAGGAUGUCCCACGUUACGUGGCUGGAGGGCACCUUUGUGGAAACCAUCAAGGGGUGGCAAUCGGGGUGGUUUUACAUCACCGAGCCGCGUGAUCCCGAAUGGGCAGCGGCCCCGAAUUCAGAUCUGGCAUCCCCACACGGCUCACCUCCUGGAAAGAGAGCGGCCGGAUUUGGGGCGAUUCGGAGGAGCUGGACCGGACUCCAAGCCUGCGUCCAAAAGCUGGUGGACGAGAAGCUCAAGCUUGUCAACAUAGUCCAGGUCAUGCUCAUCCGCCAGAUUCUCCCGUGCCAAUGACGGGGCUUCAAUAUGUGGGAGUUCGAUCCGGCGCAGCACCAGACUUUGAAUGGGCUCUUCGACACUACGUACGAAGAGGUCUGGAAGGUGUUGUUCAAGGGCGCCGAGGCUCCCGCAUCCGCUACCAAAGAUCGCGGAUUCAGCUCGCAGCGUCCAGCUGACGAGGUAAGUGAUAUUGUCCUUUACGGGACGCUUGUUAUUCAUAGUUUGACUCUAUGCGGGAUCUAAACUCCCUUUCCUUUGACAGGACUGGCUGAAGAAGGCCGCACCGGCUAUCUGUCCGGCCCCAUUGCCAGAGGACCCAGCUGACGCCCGCCUAACGGGGCUGCUGGCUCCGGCACCCCAUGUGGUGCCGGAGAAGAAGGCCAAGAAGAAGGCCACGAGGACUCGGAAGAGUUCCCGUUUUCAGGUGCUAUCGGACAAUGAAUCCGAGGCCGACUCCUCCCACCAAGGCGAGGAGGAGGAGAAGAAAGCCUCUCCCCCAGUGGGGGGAGGGAAGAAAAGGAAGGCCUCCCCAACAAGGGAGGCCGAAGGGUCCAAGAGGGGAAAAACUCUUCCCCCGGACUGUUCCGCCAACGCCAGUGACGACGACGAGGACUGGCCUCCAAGGGCCAAGCCUCUGGCGAGAUCAUAAGUAUCCGGACUCCCGAAUAACUUCAAGGUUUUCGUUUUCCGCCACAUUAUGUCUUUCUAAUGCCGCAUACAACCCUGCAGUCCGCCUAAGGAUGAUCUCCCCACUUCGUCGAGCGGGUCCUUAGGGGCGUCGGAUAUGGAUUCUCUUCUGACGGCCUCCACCCCCCGUGAUGCGGACGAUGCCGAGGUGGGAUCCCAGGAAGGGACCCACCAGGAGGAGAGGGCCCCGGAGGUGUCGCAGGACAACCUCCCGGACUUUGCACUGGACUCAGCCCCGGAACCCAUAGUGGCUCCGGAGUCCGGCAAGCGACCCCUUCGUAAGAAGGGCAAGACCGCGACGCCGGCUGCCUCCGUCCAACCGGAGGUGCCGGAUAAUUUGCUGGAGGCGCUCAACGGCGCCUCCAUCAAAGAGGAACACCGCACUGUUAUGAGUGCGGUGAUUCAGAAGGUUCAGCUCGCCAAGAGCGGGCUGACCGAAGCCUGCAGCAGCCUUCUAACAGGCUUUGAGGUAAGAAUUUCAAUAUAUGUAAAAUGGUACCGCAUAGACAGUAGCCCCUGAUGCUCGGUUCGGUGUUCGGAAAGAAAAGCCGGACUGAGGAUCUUUAGAAAGAUAAACGCAGGAGUCAUGAAAAUAUGUCAAUAUGGGAUUGCAGGUUGUGUUGCUGACCUCUGCCGCACUGACUGCGGAGGUCAAUACUUUGAAGGAAAGCCUCGAACGGUCCGAGAACGAGCUCGGCCAUGCCAAGAAGCAGCUCGAGGAAAAAGAAGGUGAGUAAUACCUUAUGAAAAUUGUACCUUACAGAAAAGGAUUUGGUUGCAAGAAAAAUGACAAGGAUAACUGGGGUAUUGCAGGGGCCACUAACGAGGUGGCGACCGUGAAGGAGGCGGUGGCCGCGGCCGAACGCAAUGCGGCUGCGGAGCGCACCGAGCGAGAGAAAUAGGAGGCGCGAGUGGCGGAGGUACAGCAAGAGCUCCAGGAUCUCGUGAAAAAACACGAGAGCCUAGAGCGUGACUCGAAGACUCGAGAGUCUGAGCUUGCAACGGCUCUUGAGAGUGCCAAAGCCGCUAAGGCCGAAGCCUACAAGGCCCUCCAGGAGAUAGAGGUGGUAAACAAAAUAGCAGCGGGUAAGGCAUUUUUCAUGCAAAGUAAGCAUGUGAGUGUUAAUUACCUGUCGCUUACCCGAAUUCGGAGCUCUCCAGGAGCGUUCGCAGAUCUUCCUCGCAGCGUGUCCGAUGCUGCCGCAUUCUACCUGGCCAAGGAGGGGAGCUCGACGGAGAAGGUCUUCUGGUCUCAGUAUGCUGAGGCCGAACAUCUGAUGCCCCUUAGCGACCAGCUGAAGCAGCUGGUCGAGCUCCACAAGGCGGCCGAACAAGCCAUGAAGGGCCUCAUAGUUCGGCUGUGGCCUAAGGAGGCUAUACCUGGGAGCUACUUCGGCCUGGUGCGGCGGCUGGUGGACGCGUGCCCGUGGUUUGAAGUUAUCAAGCACUCCACCUGUAUUGAGGGUGCGCGUCGGGCCCUUGCCCGCGCAAAGGUGCACUGGGGCAAGAUGGAUGCCCAGAAGCUUGUGACGGACCCCCCACCAGAGGGCAAGGAGCAUCGCACGCCCGAGAUGUAUUAUAGGAGUGUGCUGAAGGGCGCCCGCAUUAUUGCGGGUGAGUGCUCCAAAGAAGAAGUUUUUGAGUAGACUCGCGUUUUGUUAUCCUGUGCGCUGAAAACUAAGUUCAUAUGCGCGAAGCAACACUUGUUAAUUUAAAAUAUUACCUUAUGUGCGGCUGUUUAUCAAAUCUGAGAGAUGGCAAGUCGUCGGCUUCAGCCACCAUGCCACGAGUGCUGGGGUGUUCGGGAUAAAUUUGGGCACUCUUGUUCCCAUAUUUGGGUCCAUCGAGGGAGGCGCUCAACACAACGAACAAGGCAACCGGACUUAUAAUGCUUGAACACUCUCACUUAGCCAUAGAAUUCUAUAAUUUUAAAUUUCGGCGAAGCCCCUAGUUUUCGGAAGGCCGAAUUUGGGGCGCUAUCCACGCCUUGGCCGGACAGAAUCCGGCUCCUCACUCGAAGCGGCAUAAGUCUUUAGGGACUCGCAAAGAACCUCUCGAACAGCGACCAGCUCUCGCCUCAUCAUGACGGUCAGUUUUAGCUUUCUCCACUGAGGCGUUAACCCAGCUCAACUGGGGCGCAAUCGUAGUGGUUCUCCCAGUGCUACCUUAGCCGAUAAAACGGAACGUAAGGUACCAAAACAUGGGAGCCGGGCAAACCCAACUAUUGACCCAAGAACAUGAUUCGGAGCCGAUGCAUAUAAUGCUAUAAGUUCGGGGUGCCGCACUUGUGAAAGUGUUCGGACUUAUCACACCAUAACGUGGGAAACAUAAGCCCCUGGUGUAUUUAGCCGUACCAAAACGUGCGGAUGCAACAUGUCAUAGAUGAACAUAUGUGUAAGAAAGAAAUGCAAUUGGAAGCAAAAAUGUGCUGCAUUGCUUUAUUCAAUAAAAACUGAUGUAAGUGCAGAACGAUACAAGUGGUGCGGUAAGCAAGGGAUGGGACUGUUUAACAUGUCCCCCUCCAGGGGUAGGCUAUGGAAUAAUGCAUAAAACAGAUUUAAUGCUCAUGAUGGAGACCACCUGGAUUUUCGUUGUAGCCUUUCUCCUUCCCUGGCUGUUGCAUCAUGGGUUCGGCAUGUCUGCUGCCGGACAGGGCCUCUGACGAACGGAGUCCUGUAGGUAAAAAAUAAAAGGAAAAGAAAAAGAAACGACACACUUAAGAGCCCCUGGUGCGGUUGAGCCGCAGUCUGGGCUUAUCGUGGUCGAGCCCCUUGCCCCAUGCCCAUGGUAUCUUCAGAGCGCAAUGGAGUACGCGAAGGGUCUGUCUUAAUGUUUUGCAGGGGCUGGGGUUGGGGCCGCACUGCUACGCGUGCUCAGAACGUGCCAGGUGGUCGUGUUGUAGGUUACUCCGGGCACGCUUAGCUGUGUCCAGCCGCUUGGCAGCCGGACUCGAGAAUUGCCUUAAAAGGCUGCUUUGUACUUCUGCCGCGAGAGCCGCUGUAUGUUCCUCCGUUCGAAGGGAGCGUUCAGUGUUUCCGUUGACCGUGAUGACUCCUCUAGCGCCUGGCAUCUUGAGCUUGAGGUAUGCGUAGUGCGGCACCGCGUUGAACUUUGCGAACGCGGUACGUCUGAGCAAGGCAUGAUAGCCACUGCGGAACGGGACUAUGUCGAAGAUUAACUCCUCGCUUCGGAAGUUAUUCGGGGAUCCGAAGACCACUUCCAGUGUAACUGAGCCUGUACAAUUGGCUUCUACACCUGGUAUGACGCCUUUAAAGGUCAUCUUGGUAGGUUUAAUCCUUGACGGGUCUAUGCCCAUUUUGCGCACCGUGUCCUGAUAAAGCAGGUUUAGGCUGCUACCGCCGUCCAUCAGGACUCUGGUGAGAUGAAAUAAAUCGAGAUUGCGUCUAGAACCAAUGCGGCGAACCCACCAUGGCGAAUGCUGGUGGCGUGGUCCCUUCGGUCAAAGGUGAUCGGGCAAGAGGACCAUGGAUUGAACUUCGGGGCAACUGGCUCCAUCGCGUAUACAUCCCUGAGUGCACGCUUCCGCUCCCUUUUGGGUAUGUGCGUGGCAUAUAUCAUGUUCACCGUCCGCACCUGUGGGGGGAAACCCUUCUGUCCUCUAUUGUUCGGCGGUCGGCUCUCUUCCUCGUUGUCUCUAUGUAGCCCCUUGUCGCUGUUUUCGGCAAUUAACUUGCCUGCCUGCAUGAACACCCAACAGUCCCUAUUGGUGUGGUUAGCUGGCUUUUCAGGGGUGCCAUGUAUCUGGCACAAGCGGUCGAGAAUUCGGUCCAAAUUGGACGGACCCUGAGUUGUUCUUUUGAAUGGCUUUUUCCGUUGACCGGGUUUAGAGCCUCUGAAUCCGGCAUUCACUGCCGUAUCCUCACUGUUAUCGCCAUUAAUGCGGCGUUUGUUUUUGUUGUGACGCGAUCUGCCACUACGGUCCUUGAUAUCCGGACUGCCAGAAUUUUUGUUGAGGCUGUUGCUGCGUGCUAGCCAGCUGUCCUCACCCGCACAGAAGCGGGUCAUGAGUGAUGUAAGGGCUGCCAUGGAUUUCGGCUUUUCCUGUCCCAGGUGCCGGGCAAGCCACUCGUCGCGGAUGUUAUGCUUGAAGGCCGCGAGGGCCUCGGCAUCCGGACAGUCGACGAUUUGGUUUUUCUUGGUUAAGAACCGUGUCCAGAAUUGUCUGGACGAUUCGUCUGGCUGCUGAAUUAUGUGGCUUAGGUCAUCUGCAUCUGGUGGUCGCACGUACGUGCCUUGGAAGUUAUCGAGGAAUGCGGCUUCCAGGUCCUCCCAACUCCCGAUUGACUCGGCUGGCAAGCUAUUAAGCCAGUGUCGGGCUGGUCCUUUAAGUUUGAGUGGGAGAUAUUUGAUGGCGUGGAGAUCGUCUUCGCGGGCCAUGUGGAUGUGGAGGAGAUAGUCCUCGAUCCAGACCGCGAGGUCUGUUGUGCCAUCAUAAGAUUCAAUAUUGACGGGUUUAAACCCUUAUGGGAUUUGAUGAUCCAUUACCUCAUCUGUGAAGCACAGUGGGUGUGUGGCGCCUCUGUACUGGGCGAUAUCGCGACGGAGCUCAAAAGAGCUUUGUCUGUUGUGUUCGGCCUGGCCGGACUUACUGUGUCCGGGGUGACGGUGAUCGUCAUGUAUCGUGGGGCGCCCACGUGAUCCAUAGAUCGAUCUUGAUUGUCUUGCCUUAUCCUCCAAUAUGUCUCGCAGGUCCGGAGUGUUCCCUUGUGGCCUUGUGCUUUUCUAGUGAUGCCGGGGUACGGGUCUAGUGAAGGGCCUUGAGGCCUCUCUGUCGCGACCACGGGGUGGUCGAUCAGCCGUAUUGUCUCCUGGUGAAGUGGGAUCAUAUGCCUCCACCUCUAAUCGGGGGAGCAGCUUACGUUUGGGGUAGCUUUUGGAGGGUCGUUCGAGUUCAUGCUCUUCGGUCGCGAGGACUUCGGUCCAUUUGUCGGCUAGCAGAUCUUGAUCAGCUCUAAGCUACUGCUGCUUUUUCUUGAGGCUGUUUGCCGUGGCCAUAAGCCUGUGUUCAAAACGCUCCUGUUCGAUGGGAUCCUCAGGCACGACGAAUUCGUCGUCGUCGAGGCUUGCCUCGUCUCCGGAGGGAGGCAUAUAGUCAUCUACCUCUUCUUCGGCCGCUCUCUCAUGAGGGCUGGUGUCCCCCUCCUCCUGUGCUGGAUCUUGCUGGAGUGGGUUGUCUUCGGCGCUAUCCGGUGUAUUAUUGUCUCCGGUGCCGGAAUCCUCAUUCUUGCUAUGGCGGGAUUUAGAGCGGCGCCGCUGACGCCGGCGCUUGGGCUGUUUCUUGGAGGGGUCAUCCUCCGCUAUUCCUUCGCCGUUCCCAUCCUUUGGGAUAUACACCAUGUAUAUGUCGUAUGAAGAGGUGGCUUUCCAGUGCCCGGUGGGCGCUGGUUCUUGGUCGUCUCCGGCAUCGUCGUCCAUACCGUCGAUGUCCUCAGAGUCGUAAUCUAGCAUGCCGGUUAGAUCGUCGACAGUGGCUACCAAGUGGGUGGUGGGUGGGCUCUGAAUUUCUUCGUCGUUCGCAUCCCAACCGUCCUGGCCGCAGUCCGGCCAGGCCUCUCCUGAUAACGAGAGGUACUUUAGCGAACUCAAGAUGUCGCCAAAAGGUGAGCGUUGAAAGAUGUCCGACGCGGUGAACUCCAUGAUCGGCGCCCAAUCGGAUCCGACUGGAGGGGGCGUGGGAGGUCCGGAGUCCGGCAAGGAGUCCGGCUCCUCGGAGUCACGAGCUUUAUGGGGGACAAGAUCGGUGUUCGGCUCUAUCGCCGUAGAGGUUGCAGCCCCCGAGGCGGUGUCUAGGCAUCCAUCCUCGAUCUGCGGAGCUGGCUACGAAUUGAAGAUCAGAGUGGUUUCGAGUGCGGCCUCCAGGGUACUGUCCGGCGGCAGAGCUAAAUCAUGCCCGACGUGACAGUGCGGCACGCUCGGCUGUGGCUUGAAUCCGUCGAAGAUCAAGUCCCCGCGGAUGUCAGCCGUGAAGUCCAAACUUCCAAAUCUGACCUGACGGCCCGGGGUGUAACUUUUGAACUGCUCUAGAUGGCCAAGCGAAUUGGCCCGCAGUGCAAAGCCGCCGAAUACGAAGAUCUGUCCGGGGAGGAAGGUCUCGCCCUGGACUGCGUCAUUGAUUAUGAUCGAAGAAGCCAUCGAGCCUAUCGGUGAUGGCACAGAGGAACUCUCAAUGAAAGCACCAAUGUCGGUGUCAAAACCGGCGGAUCUCGGGUAGGGGGUCCCGAACUGUGCGUCUAGGCGGAUGGUAACAGGAGACGAGGGACACGAUGUUUUUACCCAGGUUCGGGCCCUCUUGAUGGAGGUAAAACCCUACGUCCUGCUUGAUUAAUAUUGAUGAUGUGGGUUACAAGAGUAGAUCUACCACGAGAUCAAGGAGGCUAAACCCUAGAAGCUAGCCUAUGGUAUGAUUGUUCUUCGUCCUAUGGACUAAGGCCAUCUGGUUUAUAUAGACACCGGAGAGGGCUAGGGUUACACAGAGUCGGUUACAAAGGUAGGAGAUCUACAUAUCUGUAUCGCCAAGCUUGCCUUCCACGCCAAGGAAAGUCCCAUCCGGACACGGGACGAAGUCUUCAAUCUUAUAUCUUCAUAGUCUUGGAGUCCGGCCGAUGAUGGUAGUUCGGCUAUCCGGACACCCUCUAGUCCGGGACUUCCUCACUCAUGCUUGAAGGUAACCUCUUUCACUCGACUGACUUGUCACCGUUGAUUCGUCGCGGAACUGCUGGUUCAUGUUUGACUUGCGUUUACAGAAUUCUGCCAAAACUUUGAGGAAGAGACGAGUCGAGUGGAGACAGGCUUGGAUCCCAUCAACUCUCCAAUGAAGGAUGAAGCUGCCAUGAAUGUGCUUCGACUAGAGUCUCGCGUCGCUGGUGUGGUGGACUAUCUGGCCUGACUGAAGGCAGCAGCGUCGCGAAUCGACACGACACUCUGGCCAAGGGAGACGCUUCAGAACGACCUCGAGUCUUUGAUGACUCGAUUGAAUGAAGUCCCAGGCCGAGUGCAAGAGUGGAAGAAGUCUUCUGCCAGGUGCGGUGCUGAUGUAGCUCUGUCUUUAGUCCGUGUUCACUGCAAAGAUGCACGAGAGGAAAAGCUGGCGUCCCUCAAGGUGGCUAAUACUAAGAAGCAUGACUCCCGAUCCUUCAUGGAGACAUUCAUUGCUGCUGCCAUUCGGAUAGCUGAUGGAAUCGACCUGGACAAGUUCAUCGCACCUUCCAGUCCUCCACCGGAGGAGUAAAAAACUUUUAUCCUUGAUGCCUUAAAUUUGCCUCGGAAUGCCGAGUGGUUUUUGUAACCGAUAAACUUUAACAGGCUUGAUGCCUGAGCACUUCUGGAUCCGUAGGAUGCUAUCUGAACUUGACGCCUGAGCUUUGCGGUUGAAUAUGUUUGCAUUUGUAUUCGAACGGCAUUGUUCUUCGCUCGGAAUAUAUUUUUGUGCUUGGGACUUGUUCUUGCAGGCUGGAGCACAGAUUUCAGUUGACUUGCGUCCUUGUGACCCAGGAUGAAGCGCACAUUGUAUUUGUGCCGAAGCUCGAAGGAGAGGGUAGCAGUCGACCUGCACAUCGCCGUCCUUGCAGAGCGCAUGUUGUAUUUGUGCCGAAGCCCGGAGGAGAAGGUAACAGUCGACCUGCACCUCGUUGUCCUUGCGGGUCGGAACGAUUUUCGUACUUAGGCGAGUGCUGGACUGCCGCUAAGCCUUCGAGUGAGAGGUAGAUUCACCACUCAGUAGGAUUUCAAAUACUUAGGCGAGUACUAGACCGCAGCUAAGCCCCCGAGUGGGCGACAGGCUCGCCACUCGGUAGGAUUUUAAACACUUAGUCGAGCACUGGGCUGCAGCUAAGCCUCCGAGUGAGAGGCAGACUCACCACUCGGUAGGAUUUUAAAUACUUAGGCGAGCACUGGGCUGCAGCUAAGCCUCCGAGUGAGAGACGGAUUCACCACUCGGUAGGAUUUUAAACACUUAGGCGAGCACUGGCCUGCAGCUAAGCCCCCGAGUGGGAGGCGGAUUCACCACUCGGUAGGAUUUUAAACACUUAGGCGAGCACUGGCUGCAGCUAAGCCCCCGACUGGGAGGCAGAUUCACCACUCGGUAGGAUUUUUAUUGCUUCUCAUUGUGUUUGAGUUGUAAAUCGAAGAGGAAGGUAGUAGUCGACCUGCACCUUGUCGUCCUUGCGGAUCGGGACGAAUUUCACGCUUAGGCGAGUACGGGACUGCAGCUAAGCCUCCGAGUGGGAGGUUUACUCACCACUCGGUAGGAUUUUAAACACUUAGGCGAGUACUGGACUACAGCUAAGCCCCCGAGUGGGAGGUUUGCUCACCACUCGGUAGGAUUUUAAAUACUUAGGCGAGUACUGGACUGCAGCUAAGCCCUCGAGUGGGAGGUUUGCUCACCACUCGGUAGGAUUUUAAACACUUAGGCGAGUACUGGACUGCAGCUAAGCCCCCGAGUGGGAGGUUUGCUCUCCACUCAGUAGGAUUUUAAACACUUAGGCGAGUAUUGGACUGCAGCUAAGCCCCCGAGUGGGAGGUUUGCUCACCACUCGGUAGGAUUUUAAACACUUAGGCGAGUACUGGACUGCAGCUAAGCCCCCGAGUGGGAGGUUUGCUCUCCACUCGGUAGAAUUUCCAACACUUAGGCGAGACAGAUUCGCAGCUAAGCCCCCGAGUGGGAGGUUUUCUCUCCACUCGGUAGGAUUUCAAACACUUAGUUGAAACGGAUUCGCAGCUAAGUCUCCGAGUGAGAGGCUUGCUCGUCACUCGGCAGGGAAAUUUUUUUACAAACUUAGGCGAAACGGAUUUGCAGCUAAGCCACCCAUUGGGGGAUUUCUUACAUAAGCAAAAGCGGUAACAAUUAAUGGGAAAAUUAUAACACUUUUGUCUUUGAUAGAUAAACUACAGGAGUACUUUUAUUACAUCUCAUUCGAGUGAGUACUUAAGUGUAAAAGGGGCGGAGCAGAUCCGCAUUCCAAGCUCGUGGUUCGUCAAUCUGGCGAUCGACGUUGUAAAGACGGUAUGCUCCGUUGUGGAGAACUUUGGUGACGAUGAAGGGGCCUUCCCAAGUAGGGGCGAGUUUGUGUGGCUUCUGUUGGUCCACUCGGAGGACCAAGUCUCCUUCUUGGAAGGCUCGGCUCUUCACAUUUCUGGCGUAGAAUCAGCGCAAGUCUUGCUGAUAGAUGGUUGAUCGGAUCAUGGCCAUCUCUCUUUCUUCUUCCAGAAGGUCCACUGCAUCCUGCCGGGCUUGCUCUGCUUCGACUUCAGAGUAGAGCUCGACUCGCGGUGCAUUGUGAAGCAGGUCACUUGGCAGAACCGCUUCAGCUCCAUAGACCAGAAAGAAUGGAGUUCUCCCAGUCGACUGAUUUGGGGUAGUCCUCAAUCCCCAAAGAACUGAUGGAAGUUCAUCGACCCACGCGCCUGCUGCGUGCUUGAGAUCACGCAUCAACCGGGGUUUCAGUCCUUUGAGAAUUAGGUCGUUUGCUCUUUCUGCUUGUCCAUUCAACUGGGGGUGGGCGACUGAAGCGUAGUCGACUCGUGUGCCUUGAGAAGCGCAGAAGGCUUUGAAUUGAUCGGAAUUGAAGUUUGACCCAUUAUCUGUGAUGAUGCUAUGUGGGACUCCAUAUCUGAAUAUCAAUUCCCUGAUGAAGCUGAUGGCAGUGCCAGCAUCAAGAUUUUUAAUAGGCUUGGCUUCGAUCCACUUGGUGAACUUGUCGACUGCCACCAGUACAUGGGUGAAGCCGCUCCUGCCAGUUCUCAGAGGUCCAACCAUAUCUAACCCCCAAACAGCGAAAGGCCAGACGAUUGGAAUGGUCUUCAAGGCUGAGGCGGGCUUGUGUGACAUGUUGGAGUAGAACUGACAUCCUUCGCACUUGUCGACUAUCUCUUUCGCCAUUUCAUUUGCUCUGGGUCAGUAAAAACCCGCUCGGUAUGCUUUAGCCACGAUAGUCCGAGAGGACGCAUCAUGGCCACAGGUCCCCGAGUGGAUGUCGUUGAGAAUCAUUCGACCCUCUUUCGGCUUUAUGAAUUUCUGGCUGACUCCAGUCGUGCUUUCUCUAUACAACUGUCCCUUCAUGACAGUAAAGGCCUUGGAUCGACGGAUGAUCUGCCGAGCCUCUUCUACAUUCUCUUGGAGCUCUUUUCUUAGGAUAUACGCGAUGUGAGGCACUGUCCAGUCGGGAGUGAUAACCAGAACUUCCAUGAUUAGGUCGACCACGGCUGGGACCUCAACUUCAGUCGGAUCCGUGGCACUUUUUGGUUGCGGGGCUUCUUCGGUGAAAGGAUCCUCUUGAACUGACGGCACGUGGACAUGCUCCAAAAACACGCCACUGGGAAUGGCUUCUCUCUUGGAACCUAUCUUCGCCAAGUCAUCAGCUGCUUGAUUUUUCAGUCAUGGUACGUGAUGAAGCUCUAACCCCUCAAAUUUCUUCUCCAGCUUUCUUACUGCGUUACGGUAACCAGUCAUAGCUGGGCUUUUGACAUCCCACUCCUUCAUCACUUGGUUAACCACCAAAUCCGAGUCGCCGUAGACCAUGAGGCGACGGACUCCGGGUGAAAUGGCCAUACGCAACCCAUACAAGAGUGCUUCGUAUUCUGCUUCAUUGUUGGAGGAAUCAAAGUGAAUCUGGAGUACAUAUCUGAGCUUAUCUCCUCGGGGGGAAACCAACACUACCCCAGCAUCGGAACCAUUCAGAAUUUUAGAGCCAUCAAAGAACAUGGUCCAGUGCUCCGAGUGAACUUGAGUCGGCAAUUGUUGUUCAGUCCACUCGGUGAGGAAAUCUGCUAUUGCUUGGGACUUGAUAGCUUUCUUUGCCUCAAAUCUGAUAUCCAAGGGAAGGAGUUCAAUCGCCCAUUUUGCCACUCGACCAGUUGCAUCUCUGUUGUGCAUAAUCUCUAAUAAUGGGGCGUCACUGACGACUGUGAUGGUAUGGUCAGAGAAAUAGUGAGCAACUUUCUUCGUGGUCAUAUAAAUCCCAUAUACAAGCUUCUGAUAAUGAGGGUAUCUUUGCUUUGAUGGGGUCGGGACUUCAGAAAUAUAAUGUACUGGGCGCUGAACUUUGAAGGCUUUCCCUUCUUCUUCCCGCUCGACCGUAAGUACUGUACUGACGACUUGUCCUGUGGCUGCAAUGUAAAGCAGCAAAGGCUCUUUGCUGAUCGGGGCAGCAAGUACCGGCUGGGUGGAAAGCAGGGUUUUUAACUAUACAAACGCUGCAUCAGCUUCAGGUUUCCACUCGAACUUGUCUGACUUCUUCAUCAGUCGGUAAAGAGGCAAUGCCUUCUCACCGAGACGAGAGAUGAAUCGACUUAAAGCGGCCAAGUAACCAGUAAGCUUCUGAACAUCGUGCACACGCACAGGUCGUUUCAUUCAGAGUAUAGUGCCCACUUUCUCUGGGUUUGCGUUGAUUCCUCAUUCGGAAACAAGAAAACCGAGUAACUUUCCGCCAGGAACUCCGAAUGUGCACUUGGAUGGAUUAAGCUUGAUAUCAUACCUCCUAAGGUUGGCAAAUGUUUCAGUGAGGUCAGUCAGCAGGUCGGAACCUUUCUGUGACUUGACCACAAUGUCAUCCAUGUAUGCUUCCACAUUCCGACUGAUUUGAGUGAGCAAACACUUCUGAAUCAUCCUCCUGAAUGUGGCUCCGGCAUUCUUGAGGCCGAAUGGCAUGGUGACAUAGCAGAAGCACCCGAAUGGGGUGAUGAAAGUUGUUUUGAUCUCAUCGGGUCCAUACAGACGGAUCUGAUGGUACCCGGAAUAAGCAUCUAAGAAAGAUAGUCGCUCACAUCCCGCAGUCGAGUCGACUAUUUGGUCGAUGCGGGGAAGAGGAAAAUGAUCUUUCGGGCAGGCCCGAUUGAUAUGUUUAAAGUCAAUGCACAUGCGAAGUGACUUGUCCUUCUUGGGGACCAUGACAACAUUGGCGAGCCACUCGGAGUGGUAAAUCUCUCGGAUAAACUCUGCUGCUAAGAGCCGAGCCACCUCUUCGCCAAUAGCCUUCCUUUUCUGGACGGAGGACCGUCGCAGAUAUUCCUUGACAGGUUUUGCCUUUGAAUCGACUCGCAGAUGGUGCUCAGCCAGCCCCCUGGGUACACCCGGCAUGUCAGAAGGUUUCCAUGCAAAGAUGUCCCAGUUCUCACGGAGGAACUGGAUGAGCACUUCUUCCUAUUUGGGGUCGAGUGUUGUGGAGAUAUUGGUCGGAGCAGCGUUGGGGUCGGUCGGAUGGAUGUGAACUGGUUUUGUCUCACCGGACGACUGAAACGCUGAUUCCAUAGCGGGAUUCUUGGCUCGCAACAAAUCACUCCAAUCUGCAUUUCUCUGGUGUUCCUGCCACUCUUCUGCCACCAUCUGAGCAUCGGCGAUCUUUGAGCCUUUCUGAAAGCACUCUUCCGCCUUCUUACGAUUACCAGUAACAGUGAUCACGCCUUUAGGGUCAAGCAUCUUCAAUUUGAGGUACAUGUAACAUGGUCGAGCCAUAAAACGUGCAUAAGCUGGCCUGCCCAAAAUGGCGUGAUAGGCACUUUGGAAAUCCACAACCUCAAAUGUCAACUUUUCUUUGCGGAAGUUUUUGGAAUCACCAAAAACCACAUCGAGAGCAAUCUGGCCGAGUGACGCGGCCUUCUUGCCAGGAAUGACCCCAUAGAAACUCAUGUUGCUUGUGCUGAGUCUGGACAUCGGAAUGCCCAUCCCUUUCAGCGUCUCUGCGUACAGUAUAUUCAAACUACUGCCGCCAUCCAUCAACACUUUAGUCAGUCGAGUGCCUUCGAUGACUGGGUCGACCACCAGAGCCUGCCUCCCAGGGGUGGUUAUGUGCGUCGGGUGAUCAGACUAGUCGAAUGUGAUGGCCGUCUGAGACCACUUCAGAUAAUUGGGUGUCGCCGGAGCAACCAUAUUCACCUCUUGGUUUAUAACUUUCAAUCGACUUCUGCUCUCAACAUCAGCAAAGAUCACCAGAGUGGAAUUGACCUGAGGAUAUUCCUCGUCACUAUCCCCCUUGUCCUCAACUUUGUCCGACUCUUUUUCCUUAUCCUUGGACUGUUUCCCCUGGAACUGCUGUAUCAGGAGUCGACACUGUCGAGUGGUAUGCUUCGGGUAAAUGAAAUGACCCUCUUCAUCUUUCUUCGUGUGGAUGUGACAUGGUAAAUCCAUCAGGUCAUUUCCCUCUUUAUCCUUCACUUUCUUGGGGUUCCAAGGCCCUUUGGGCUUUCCUUUGAACUUUCCUUUAGUCACGACCAAGGCUUCUCCAGGAGCAGCUGGCUCGGCUUCCCGCUUCUGCUUCCGACUGGAGUUCCCUCCUCCGGUUUCCUGGGCGACUGACUUGUGCUUGCCACUCCGGAGCCGAUCCUCUUCCUCACUAUUGGCAUAUUUGGUGGCUAUCUCCAUCAUUCGACUCAGAGACAUGUCUCCGGUUCGACCGAAUUUCAGGCUUAGCUCUCUGUACUUAACGCCUUCCUUGAAGGCGCAGACUGCCUGGUGAUCAGAUACAUUCUCAACUGUGUUAUGCAAUGUGAUCCAUCUUUAGAUGUAAUCUCUCAAAGUCUCAUUCGACUUCUGCACACAAGAUUGUAGCUCUGUCAGUCCUGCUGGUCGCUUGCAUGUUCCUUCGAACGUUCUGACAAACACUCGGGAAAGAUCUUCCCAUGUGUAAAUGCUGCUGGGUGUCAACUGAUUCAACCAUGCUCUGGCCGAUCCCUCCAACAUAAUAGGCAGAUGCUUCAUGGCCACCUCAUCAUUUCCGCCGCCGAUCUGGACAGCCACUCGGUAGUCUUCAAGCCAAGUAUCAGGCUUAGACUCACCAUUGAAUUUACUGACUCCAGUCGCCAACCUGAAGUUGGGAGGAAUCACCGCGGCCCUGAUGGCUCUGCUGAAACACUCUGGUCCUGAUACAUGCACUCGGCUACUGGUGGGUACAUCUCUGUCGUGACCCUCUCUGUGAGCUCUGUUCCGGUCGACCAGACCUUGAACGAUGAUGGACCUUGCAUCAAAGCCUGGUUCCCUGGGGUCGACUGGAAUCCUUCGCCCACCACUGUGCUGGCGUCUUUCAUCUUGCUGUCGAGGCGCGUAGGAUCCACCCCUUGGGGGAGGGGUGGGCACUCGACGUCGAUCAUCGCAAUCGAAUCAGUGAUCAUACUGCUCACGGUUCUUGUAUUGAUCGUGCCGGUCUCCACGCCCCUCAUUCCUCGGGGGCGAUCUGGGGCUAUGAGCCGACUGGACUGUAUUCGCAGCCACGGAUCUGCUGUGAAUCCUAUUCCGUGACUGUGAUACAGCUGAAUUCUGAUCUCCUGCUGCACGGAGCAAAUCUCUGAUCUGCAUCAAGCCUCUGCCAGCCUCUGACUGGGAAGGCUGAAUUGACUCUGCUAUAUGGGCUGCAGCUGCUAGAUUCUGAAUCGGAGUUCGAUAUACCUGAGUCGGUGAUGGAAAGAGCCGGCGUCGGCUGGAGUCAGGAACCCGUUGCCGCGCGCGCUCGUCGAGUGCCCGCUGAUGGUUCUCAAGUCGAAUGCGCUCAGCCAAGUUGGCCAAGCGCGCAUCCUCUAAGGCGCGAGCCUCAGGGGUUUCUCCAACGAUAGGAGUGUGAAGUGCAUCCAUGUUCCGGCGGCGAAGUUCUUCCCCCUGCAGCGAAUUGAGGGGCUUGGGAAGGUACUCUUCAUGGGCGUGCGACGGAUCGCCUCCGCCGUCACCUCCCUCGGCGCCGGGAAAGCCGGGGGGACCAUGUGGUCCAUUGACCAUCAGGACCUCCGCCGCUGGAUCACUACUGUCGCACUCAGAUGCAGUCUCUGCGGAGCCAGUCGAACAGGUCGUAGAGAGAUUCGUCGGGCUCGAUUGCCGCGACUUGGGCGGUGGUCGAUUGGCGAGCCACCGCGUGCCUCACCCACCGCUGAAGCCUCGAUCGACCGGAGCACUUGCGCUGGCGGGAAGCAGGGAGGGAGGAUGACACAAAAACCGGUCGAUACUGGGUCGACGGUUGCCGCAGGAGGACACCGCGGACGCAUGCGCGAAAGUGCGUCGCUCCGCGAACUGGGAGCGCGUCGACGUCGAGCGGAGCCUCCUGAAGCCAGGCAGAGUCGUCGGCGAUGAACGUGAGCGCGCCGAGACGGAUCUCGCGGCCCUCAACCAAAACUCCGCCUGAAACCAUGAUGAAGGAGAUCGGAAAAAAUUGCAACUUCUCCAAUAAGUCGCUAAGACACCUGUCCCACGGUGGGCGCCAACUGUCAUGGUUCUAACUCUGACAGUAGUGUAGAUGCAAGAUCCUAGCAAUGGAGUAGUUGUACACGCAAGAGUUUUACAAGUUCAGGCCCUUCUCGGAGGAAGUAACAGACCUACGUCUCGGUGCCCGGAGGCGGUUGACUAGAUUAUAUACGUGUGAGUUACAGGGGUGCGAAUCCUUUACACUGAUGAGGGGGUGGCUUAUAUAGAGUUCGCCAGACCCCUCCGGCCCUCAGUUAUGUAGGGUUUAAAGUAUAUUAAGUCAGGGGGUUACUGGUAACGCCCACAUAAAGUGCUAUGAAGACCAUAAAGGCUACUUAAUGACAGACCGUUACGUGCAGAGUGACUUUAGAUCUCCCGGCCGUCGAGUGGUUAGCUUCAUGGUCGAGUGGUGAUCUUCAUGGUUGAGUGUCUUCGAGUCUUUCGAGUGGAUCACCUCUCGGACGACUGACAGGUAGUUUCUUCUAGAGAUGUCCUUGGGUAGGGUAGCUUAGACAGGUCCAUGACCCUACCCUAGGUACAUAGCUUCAUUAGACACUAAAUUGUUUUUCUUUUGAACAAUCACCGGGGGGAGAGGAUCCCGACCUGAAUAUAUUACUCAAAGGCCCAGAGGGCGAGUUACAUUAGUGGUUACAGCGGGAGGAGAGGUAUAGGCGCCAACACACGGCCGCCUCCCUGCUAACGGGGUCCUUAAAUCUGAGGCCCAAAGUGUGAAGUUUGAGAUGAUAUUAUGUAGAGUAUCGAUGGGUGAGUGGAGCUCGUUGUGGAAGACACGAGCGUUCCUGGAGUCCCACAGCUUCCAUAGUAUGGCGAGGACGACAAUUGGGCAAAUGUUGAUGUCGAGGCCCACCGGCGUACGAGUAGCCCGAACGAGGUCGAUGGAGUGAGGUGGCGCCAGUUCCAAGAGGGACCGGACCGGUGCCGCGUGUGGGCAGAGUAUGAAGAGGUGUUGCGUCCUCCAGCGUGAGGGCGCACCGAGGGCAUGUCGAAUCUAAGGUGAUGGUCUUGUGAUGCAAGUUUGCCAUCGUGCUCAGCCUGUCACGACAGAGGAGCCAACCGAAGAUCUUGACCUUAAUAGGUGCGUUAGAGCUCUAGAUGUGCUCCGCAUUGAGAUUUAUCUUGUGGUCAGAGGAGAGCAGCAAGUAAGCACACCUCAAGGUGAGCGAGGAGCCGUGGAUGAUGAACCUGUCGUCUGGCGUGUCGUUGGUGAUGACAUCCUGCAACAAAGACAAAACAGAUGCAGGCUCUAUAGAAGCAGCAUUGGUUAGGUGGUUCCAUAGAGUAACGAGUAAACCAUUCUGCAUGACAUCCGAAACCAGGACAGAGGAUGAUGUGGAGUGGGAGAAGAGGUAUGGGUAAAUGUGUGUGAGUGGUGUGGAAAGAAGCCAAGUGUCUAGCCAGAAGAAGGUGACAGUGUCGUUGUUGGUAAGGACAAAAGAGAUUUUUUUGGAGGGAGUGGAGUUGUUUUCUAUUGUCCAGAGGUGGGAAGGGUUGUGGGGCUUAUUCACGAAGUCAAGGGAGUAGUAUUGGAAGAACCAGUUGGCCCAUGGUUGGUUUGGUUUUUGGAGAAGUUUAAACGCAAAUUUCAUGAGGAGGCAGUUGUUUUGGAGAAGCAGGUUUUUAAUACUAAAUUGUUUCAUUCUUUGGCCAUGGAAAGAUAUCGAUGGAACUUUAUAAUUUCUCUUUGCUUGCCGACUUAGAGGUGCAAGAUCAUGUUGCUAAAGAAUUUGUCUUAUAUUAAACUUGUAAGGAGACUCGAGGCCGGUCUCGUCCACACCCACGAUACUAUUUAAUUUCCCAUCUAGCAUUCACCAUGUUAAGAGUCUUGAGAAUAUCUCCUAGCCUUUCACAUAACGUUGUAAUAAGGUCUGUGUCAAUCGAUAGUGCUCCUGGUUCGAUGAAUUUAAUGGAUCUUUCCCGAGUCAUGUUGGCACAUUCAAAAAAUGGCUUCUAUCAGUCUUGCUUUGAUUUCUACAAGGGGGAAACUCGAACUCCAACACAUAAAAAAUGGAUGAGUAUAUAUAUUUGUCGAGGUGUUUUUGUGUUGUACCUAACAAUAGUAUGAAAGUCGUACGUAAUUUGUAUGAUAAUGGGAUGACAUCUCAGGUUGUUAGAUACAUGAUGCACUAAUUUGUCUGGAAUAUAUCCCAAAGAGACUAUAUCGGUGGUGUACAAGAUGUACUCGGUGAUUAGGAUGUCAACUUGUCGAGUUGGAGGAUGAGGAUCUAGAUGGGAUUUGUAGAUUGAAUCUACUAACUGAACUAAUAUGCUAAAACCAGGGCUUCUUGCGAAUUAGGAGAAGUUGAAGAUGUCUCAUCCCUAUCGGGUGGAUGCCUAUUUGUACUGGUCACCGUCUUAGUUCCCUUCUUCAAUUCGCCAUGGACUCCUCUGUUUAUGGUAGCCGUGUGGCUCCCUUCAUAAAAGCCGGCGACAACACGAUUGCAGAAUUAGGUGGAUCCAACGCGUGCCUCUCGCGCCUCAUUCACGGGGAAAAUACAACCUAAGUAAAACAGACACAACACGACAACGUGGUGAAAUCUACUCCAAUCAACAUGACCACAUAAAUAUCCAACACAAAUUAAUGGGUUAUUCUUACAUUGUGAAAUACAAAAGGGGAAGCUAGAACAAAGCAGUUGAUGCCUUGUCUAGGAUAAAGCAAUACAUCUAGGCUCUCUCUUCUAGUACAACACUACCCCUCCGAAUUUCUGAAGUUGCCAAAUCCUACACUAAUGACACUAAAUGCACUCUCUGAACUUACUAUUGAUGAUCUUCUCAUCCAAAUUACACAUUCAAGGAGUACCAGAUACAAAAAAAAAGAACAAAAUCGUUAUUGACGGCAAUACACAGUUGAGACAACAAGUCCUCAAGUCCUUCCACAAGUCAAAAAUUGGGGGACAUUCAGGAGAAAGAGUGGCUUACCAAAAUUGCAUUUACUGCACCAUUACGGAGGUUUAAAACAAGAUGUCAUUAAUCAUAACCCAUUUGUCGGCUAAAAAAAGCACAACAUACUCCUUGCACUGAUCUUCUUCAAAUACCUACCACUACGAUUCACGGAUUUUGCUUGGUGUCACAUUAGCACGAAUCUUGUGGAAGGGCAACCCUUGCCAGAGAACAAGGACUUUUUCUUUCUUCCAGAGAACAUGGACUUCAUACUUGUGGUAGUUGGAAUAUUGACUAAUCAUGCCCACUUCUUGUCGGUAAAGUACUCGGUCACUGUCCAAAUUAUUGCUAGAGUUUUCUCAGAUAAUAUCGUCAAACUCCUUGGACCACAUGCAGUCACCGUUACUGCUAAAGAUAAAAGCUUUACAUGUACUCGUUGGUAGCAACUCUUUAGAUCUCUGGGAGUGAAACAUCAUGUCAACACUUCAUAUCAUCCACCAAACUGGUGGUCAAGCGGAGAGGAUGAACCGGUGCUCAGCAACAUGUUUGAGAUGCAUGGCCUUUUAACAACUCAAGGAAUGGCACCCAUGGCUUGCUCUGGCUGAACGGUGGUAUUGGUAUAGCACCACUCUCCACACGUAUCUGAAAAUACACCUUUUGAGGCACUUUGUCUUUCCACCUCCUAAAAUUCAUGAAUCCAAUCUACUAGAUUUCAUCUUUAGUGGCUCCCUUGAUAUCCUGCACAGCCGAGAAAUGGCUAUGCAACUCAUCAAGGACAACUUUCUCAAAGCACAAGCAAGAAUGGAAUACUUUGCUAACAAGAAACGAAAAGAAAGAGAGUUUCAAAGGGUAGUAGGAUGCACCGUAAAAAGUCUCCUUUCGAGACCCUGUUGAUCUGAGCAUGUCAGCAACCUAUAUCAGGGCAUUGCAUACACAGAUACACCACAUAGCAACUAGAUAAGUACAGAGAAUGGUUCAAAUUCAAGAAUCCAAUUUACAUGCAUAAGACUGCAAACUGAAGCCAUAUUCCUGGAAACAUGUCUCCAGAGAGCAACCCAAAGGGACAAACUAUGCCAGUUCAAGUUUGGCAGACUGAAGCUAAAUCUUGUAUCUACAAACAUGGACGAUAAACAAUAGAGGCCAAAAGUGUAUGCGCUCCAAACAGACAAACAAAAUCACACUAAAAGUUCCUACAGGGAACUGCCGCCAUACGUAGUUUCCUACCGGGAACUGUCGUCAUACGAGCUGCAUAUUACACAAGCAGGUCACACUGGUUGGUUGGUCAUGUUCCUAGCCGAACAGAGUCAGU
rnacentral:lncRNA from 1 species